AAGUCGUAACAAGGUAUCCGUAGGUGAACCUGCGGAUGGAUCAUUACCAAAGAUCUAUCCUUCCAACGUAAUGUGAACUGUUUUGAAUACACGGUCUGUGGUGGCGGCCUAGCCGCUCCUGCAGGCUGUACUUUAAACGUUUUUCUAUUGAACUGAAGUCUCUUUAGUAAAUUUAACUAAAGACAACUUUUAGCAAUGGAUCUCUUGGCUCUU
rnacentral:misc_RNA from 1 species